GAUGAACGCUGGCGGCGUGCCUAAUACAUGCAAGUCGAGCGAACGGACGAGAGUCUUGCUUCUCUGAAGAUUUCGGCGGGAAGGGGAGUAAAACGUGGAUAACCCACCUCUAAUACUGGGAUAAAUUCGUUAAACCGGAGCUCAAACCGGAGAAAACUUUAUACAGCAUGGUUCAGAAGUGAAAGACGGUCUUUCUGUCACAUUUAGAUAUGUCUGUGCUGCAUUUGAUCGUUGUUAGGGUAAAGGCUUACCACGGCACGGAGGCAUAGCCGACCUGUGAGGGGGAUCGGCCACACUGAACCUGAGACCCGUCCCAGCCCCUAAGGGGAGGCAGCGGUGGGGAAUCUUCGGCAAUGGGCGAAAGCCUGACGGAGCAACGCGGCGUGAGUGAAGAAGUAUUUCGGUUGGUAAAGCCCUGUUGUUAGGAAAGAAUGAUUGUGUAGUAACUAUACACAGUAGAGAGGUUACCAAACAAGAAAGCCCCGGCUAACUCCGG
rnacentral:rRNA from 1 species